rnacentral:rRNA from 1 species
UCAAACGAGGAAAGGCUGAUGUGUGGAUACCCAGGCACCUAGAGACGAGGAAGGCGUAGUAAGCGACGAAAUGCUUCGGGGAGUUGAAAAUAGCAUAGAUCCGGAGAUUCCCUGAAUCAGGUCAAUCCUCGAACUGCUGCUGAAUCCAUGGGCAGAAGACAACCUGAAACAUCUUAGUAGCCAGAGGAAAGAAGAAAGCAAAAGGACUCGUAGUAGCGGCGAGCGAAAUGAUUUUAAACCGUGAAAACGGGGGCUGUGGGAGAGCAAUACAAGCGUCGUGCUGCUAGGCGAAGCGGUGGUGGAGGUUGCACCCUAGAUGGCGAGAGUCCAGUAGCCAAAAGCAUCAGCUAGCUUACGCUCUGAGUAGCAUGGGGCACGUGGAAUCCUGCUGCGUGACCAGCAAGGACCACUCGCAAGGCUAAAUACUCCUGGGUGACUGAUAGCGAAGUAGUACCGUGGAGGGAAGGGUGAAAAGAACCCCAUCGGGGAGUGAACAGAACAUGAAACCGUAAGCCCUUCAGCAGUGGAGGAGCCCAGGGCCUGACCGCGUGCCUGUUAGAAGAAUGAGCUGGCGACCAUAGGCAGUGGCUUGGUUAAGGGAACCCACCGGACAGCGAAAGCGAGUCUCAUAGGGCAAUUGUCACUGCUAUGGACCCGAACCUGCGAUUCAUCCAUGACCAGGAUGAAGCUUGGGUGAAACUAUGGAGGUCCGAACCGACGAUGUUGAAGAAUCAGCGAUGAGUUGUGGUUAGGGUGAAAUGCCACCUGAACCCAGAGCUAGCUGGUUCUCCUGAAAUGGCAGAGGCAGCAGUUGACUGACAUCUAGGGGUAGCACCGUUUCGGUGAGAUGGGUACCAAAUCGAGGUAAACCUGAAUACUAGAUAUGACCUCAAACCAACAGGGUCAAGGUCGGCCAGUGAGACGAUGGGGGAUAAGCUUCAUCGUCGAGAGGGAAAUAAGCCCGGAUCACCAGCUAUCUCAAAUGACCGCUCAGUGAUAAAGGAGGUAGUGCAGAGACAGCCAGGAGGUUUGUAGAAGCAGCCACCCUGAAAGAGUACAGCCACUGAUCGAGCGCUCUUAAAAGAUGAACGGGCUAAGCGAUCUGAAGCCGUGGAUGUCAAAAUGCAUCGGUAGGGGAGCGUUCCGCCUUAGAGGGAAGCACCUGCGCGAGCGGCGGUGGACGAAGCGGAAGCGAGAAUAUUUAUAACGCAAACAUUGGGUGAGAACUAACACCCUGAAAACCUAAGGUUCCUCCGCAAGGUUCGUCCACGGAGGGUGAAUAGGCCUAAGCAUCAGGCUUCGAAAGGCGAAUGAUAUCAACAGGUGAAUAUCUUGCACUCCCUUGUUGGUCCCGAGGGAUGGAGGAGGCUAGGUUAGCCGGAAAGAUGGUUAUCGUCUGCUGACGCAUGGUGGACCCUGCUUUUUUCAGGGUAAGAAGGGUGGAGAAAAUACUUUAUUUCGUUCGAGUACCAGGCGCUGCUACGGCGCUGAAGUAACCCAUGCCAUACCCCAGGAAAGCUCGCUGAACGACCUUCAAUAAAAGCGGGUACCUGUACCCGAAACCGACAGGUGGUAGGUCACCUAGGGCGCGAGACAAAUUUCUAAGGAACUCGGCAAAAUAGCCCUGUAACUUCGGAGAAGGUACCACAAGGGGGUCGCAGACCAGGCCCGGGCGGACUGUUUACUAAAAACACAGUCUCCGCAAAGUCGUAAGACUAUGUAUGGGGGGCUGACGCCUGCCCAGCCGAAGGUCAAGGAAGCUGGUGACCUGAUGACAGGAGCCGGCGACCGAAGUCUCGGUGAACGGCAACUAUAACGGUCCUAAGGUAGCGAAAUUCUUGUCGGGUAAGACCCGCACGAAAGGCGUAACGAUCUGGGCACUGUCCGGAGAGAGGCCGGUGAAAUAGACAUGUUCAGAAGAUGCGGACUCCCCACCGGACAGAGACCAUGAAGCUUCACUGUCUUCGACUGGCUUUGGGCCUUUCCUGGCAGCUUAGGAGGGCGGCGAAGGCCUCCGGGGGGGGCCUGAGCUAUCAGUGAGAUACCAUCAGUUAUAGAAUUUAACCUGUGUCAGGAUUUUUUCAAGGGACAGUCCAGGUAGACAGUUUCUAUGGGGCGUAGCUCCCUGUAAAAGGUAACGAGGCGCGCAAGGUUUCGGGGCCGGACGGAGAUUGACAGCAAAGGCAGAAGGGGGCUUGAAUGCGCGACCCAACUGUCGAGUGGACGAGUCGGCCUUAGUGAUCCGACGGUGCCGGAGGGAAGGCCGCUCAACGGAUGUUGAUAACAGGUUGAUCUUCCCCAAGAGCUCACAUCGACGGGAAGGUUUUGGGCACCUUGAUGUCGGUGGCUCUUCGCCACCUGGGCUGUAUAACCUAAGCCAGCUGUUCCGCCCACUAAAGCGGGUAUGCAGAGCUGGGUUCAGAACGUCGAGACAGUUCGGUCCAUAUCCGGUGUUAGAGCAUUGGAGAGGACCUUCCCUAGUACGAGAGGACUGGGAAGGACGCACCUCUGGUGUACCAAAGAGCUCACGGCAAACGCUGGGUAGCCAAGUGCGGAGCGAUAACUGCUGAAAGCAUCUAAGUAGUAAGCCCACCCCCCCAAGAUGAGAGUGCUUCCUAUUCCGACUUCCCCAGAGCCUCCAGCACAGCCGAGACAGCCUGCCUCUCUCUGUCUCUCUCAUGGGGAUGGAGCGACAGAGGUUUUGAGAGAAUUCAAGAAGGUCACGGCGAGACGAGCUGUUUAUCAUUACGAUAGUGUCAAGUUAUGCAGUGAUGCAUGCAGCUGGAGGCAUCCUAACAGACCACCGGUAGACUUGAACCU